ensembl:lncRNA
AUGUGUCAUUCUGAAGCUUCACAGGCAUCAUUUUUCUCUUCCAGGAAGAUGCUUGCCUUGCUCAGUGUCCUCCUGCUCUCAUCACAUGUCCUUCCUCUCGUCCAUUCACUGCAGUGCGAUGAAAGAACAGAGUACUUGAAAGACAAUCGGUGCUGCAAAAAAUGUAAACCAGGAGAGCUUAUGAUAGAGAAAUGUGAACAAGGAAUUUCUGAUACUCAGUGCGACGCAUGUGGAGAUGGCUUCUUCAUGGACGACUAUAAUAUCAAUUACCACUGGUGCAAACAUUGCACAACGUGCACCAAGGAACAUAUGAAGAAUAUGAAGAACUGUACGGCGACAAGUGAUGCAGUGUGUACAUGUGAGGAGGGCUACAGAUGCAGUGACAGCAAAUGCCAGACGUGUGAGAAAAUUCAGACAACUACUGUUACUACUCCUCCUUCCACUCAAACAAUACCGCCCACCCAUGAUAAUGUGUGGAUCUCGGUGAGUCUGUGUUUUGCAUGUGUGUGUGUGUGCGCUCUGCUCACCUGUUUCCUUCUCAUCAGCAGACAUGCACGACCAUGUGGACGGAUCAUGUCAACAUCAGUCGGUCUCUGCUCCUCCGACAAGAGCAGCCUUGGAUCCAGUCAGUGCACAGAGGAAGAGGAGGUACCAAUGCCAGUACAGGAGGUGUGUGGAAAGACUGAAAAACUGGAGGAUGUCUGAGAAAAGAGCAGGAAGAAGACCACUGAUGCGUCUACGGAUUGAGUAUUUACUCUAA